GCUCGGGUCCCCUUCCACACUGUGGAAGGUUUGUUCUUUUGCUCUUUGCAAUAAAUCUUGCUACUGCUCACUCUUUGGGUCCACACUGCUUUUAUGAGCUGUAACACUCACCGGGAAGGUCUGCAGCUUCACUCCUGAAGCCAGAGAGACCACGAGCCCACCGGGAGGAAGGAACAACUCCAGACGCCCCGCCUUAAGAGCUGUAACACUGACGGAGAACGUCUGCAGCUUCACUCCUGAGCCAGUGAGACCACGAACCCACCAGAAGGAAGAAACUCCGAACACAUCGGAACAUCAGAAGGCACAAACUCCAGACACGCCACCUUAAGAGCUGUAACACUCACCGCAAGGGUCCGCGGCUUCAUUCUUGAAGUCAGUGAGACCAAGAACCCACCAAUUCCGGACACACACCUGGAGACAUAAAAAGAUAAGAAUACUAUGAACAACUUUACACACAUAAAUUUGAAAACUUAAAAAAAUGAAUAAAUUCUUGGAAAAGCACAAACUUCCUUAAUUUAUCCAAUAUGAAAUACGUAAUUUGAAUAGUCCUAUCAUAAUAAGGAAAUUGAAUUCAAAAUUUUAAAAUUCAAAAAAGAAAUCUCCAGGCCCAGAUAGUUUCACUGAAUAUUCUAUUAAACAUUUAAAGAAUUAACAAAGUUUCUUUCCAUCUAUUUCAGAAAGUAGAAGAGGAGGAACUUUCCUAGGUGUUUUGUGAACUAGUAUUACCUUGAUCCCAAAGCCAGACAGCAUAAACAAAGGAAACUACAGACCACUAUACCUCAAGAAUACAAACACAAAAAUUCUUAAUAAAAUAUUAUGAAAUAGAAUUCAGCAAUAUGUAAAAAGAAUUGUAGAUCAUGACCAAGUGGGUUAAUUCCAGAGAUGUAAGGCUUGCUCAAUAUUUGAAAACCAAUCUAUUUAAUCCACUAUACUGAGAGGCAAAGGAAUAAAAAUGACACAAUGAUAUCUACUGAUGGCAGAAAAAGCAGUUGAUAAAAUUCAAUACCCCUUUAUGAUAAAAACUCUCCGAAAGUUAGGAAUAAGGGAAACUUCCUAAACAUGAUAAGAUCAUUGACAAAGCCUACAGCUAAUACCGUAUACUCAGCGAGGACAAAUUGAACUCUUUUUCUUUAAGAUCCAGAACAAGGAAAUAAUAUCUACUUUUAUUCAACGCAGUACUGGAAGUUCUAGCCACUGGAUAAGGCAAGAAAGGUGUGGUAAUGGUGUUGUGAGAGAGAAUACUCUUACUCUUGAAAGGAGUGCCAAAUGAAGUAUUAAGAGGUGAAAUUUCAUGACAUUGGUACACUACUUUCAGAAGGCUGGGCCAAAAAGAAGAACCUAUCCACAGAGACAUGUUGUUAACACAUAUUCACUGCACCAUUCCUUCAAGUUUUUGCUCUCAUGGGAGAUCAGAUUUCCAACCCCUCUUUGCAGUGGUUUUGGCUGCUCCUCUCACACUGAAAGCACAGGGGCCUUGGUCCUUCCAUUGAUUCAUAAGUACAACACCCUACUUCUUGGAUACAGAGCCAUCGCGGAAUGUUCGCUGGAGUGAGGCAGCGUAUGGAGCACAUGGGACAUGCAGACCCAGAUGGACAUCUUACAAACUUUCAGAGGAGCUGAAGCCAGAUUGUGAGUAUACAAUUCUGUUCAGUCAUCUUCUCCGAGAACCCUCUCUCAUCUUUUUUCUCAAAGACUGUCUCAUCCUCCUCUGCAAAUCCAACAGAAAGGACACAGUAGAGUGGGCAAGAAUGCAAAGAAGGUCUGUGGUUUGGAACUGGCCCAAGCCGAACUAAACUUUUCUAAAUAUACAUUAAACUGUCAACAAAGAGCACCGUGACCCACAGCCUGAAUAAAGGGAGAGCCCCAAGGCCCUCUGAAGCCACUAGUUCUGUGAGUUGUUUUAGGGAGAAGACAGACAACCAAGAAUUAUUUACCUUAUUAGACUGUGCCCAUCCAAGCCCAGGUAAAACUUUUUGAUCAGCAGAAAACUGGAAUUAUUUCCCUUUCUCUAUCCUGGAUUGAGUGUGAAUUCCCCAGAGAAACUUGGCUUUGAGAGCACUAGCUGGACAUAUAGGGGUCCAUUUCCAAUCUGCUCUGAGAAGGGCCCUGUCUUCAUCCUAAAGGAAGGCUUUAGAAAACUGUUAUCUAAGAUCUAGGAUUGAAGAUGGUGAGAACCUGAGGCUGAGCAAUUGGCCCCAAUUCUUCCUGAAGCAUUAUCUGAGAGAGAGAGCCUAGCCUGUGGUUUUUGACCCCUGGCAGAAGGGUGGAGAGAGGGAAGAAGAAAGAAGGAAGAUGAAGACAACUUCCUGCUCAAGACCAACCCAUCUCCCCUCAUUCUGGGGUGACCAAUUGAGAAAACAAUGAUAUCUCCCUUACUCUCAUCUGUUUCCAAAGGCUUUGCUUCAUCUACCAAAAAACCGUGUUGAUCCCUAAUGAAUAUCCGGCACCCCGCAUUCCAUCUCGGUGACUGCUUCCAGAAAACACAAGCUGUGACAUGCCCAUUAUGUACUCAAUAAAUCUUUAAUAAUUGAGUGGAUAGAGUGAUGUGAGUUGAGAAGCAUUAUUAAAGAUUAUUUUCCCAAAAAUAAACAAAAAAAAUGUGCCCAUUGGCUGGUGACUAGAAUUCUACAAUUAGAGGUUUAUUCCUUUGUCUUAAUGCUUCUGCUUUUGUAAAUACCCCCGUAAUAAACGCAUGUUAAGUUUAUUAGACACCUAUUCCCCAGUGUAAACAAAGUCCUGGAAGCACAUUCUAACAGGAAGAGAGAGGGAAAAAAGUAUGAGAGCACCAAUGGACAAACAUCAGGAGCAAGUUACCUGGAUUCAGUCCUGGUUCCACCACUUGCUAGAUCUGUGUCAUUAGACCAAUCAAUUGACCUCUCUGUGCCUCCGUUUUUGUUCCUGUAAAAUGGGAACAAUAACUGUAACUACUUCCAAGUAUUGUUAUGAAAAUUGAAUGAGUUAAAAUAUAAAAAUGUUAGAGACUAGGGAAUAUGAGACUAGUCAAUGAAUGUCUAGUGGAGACAAGAAAAAGUGAACAAAAUUAUACAAGUGCUAUUAAUAAUACAGUCAGAUUUAUAUAUUUUUUCCAUCACACUGACCUCCAAUCCAGGCUGGGAAAUGGGUUUUUUAAAUCUCUUGCGUGUUUUCCAUCACUUGAACUACCAUAUUGUUUUACAAUUAUUUGUCUUGUGUCUACUGCCACCCUUACCUCACCACUGUGAGAUCCUUAGAGGUAAAAUAUUCUAUCUUAUUCAUCCUUAUAUCCCCUUCCAUUCAUCCAUUUAUUCUUUUUUUCUAACUUUUAAGUUCAUAGGUACAUGUACAGGUUUGUUACAUAGAUAAACUUGUGUCACGUGGAUUUGUUGUACGGAUUAUUUCAUCACCUAGGUAUUAACUCUAGUACCCAUUAGUUAUUUUUCCUGAUCCUCUCCCUCCUCCCACUCACUACCCUCCAGUAGGCCCCAGUGUGCGUCAUUCCCCUCUAUGUGUCCAUGUGUUCUCAUCACUUAGCUCCCACUUGUAAGUGAAAAUAUGUGGUGUUUGGUUUUCUGUUCCUGUGUUAGUUCGGUAAGGAUAAUGACCUCCAGCUCCAUCCAUGUCCCUGCAAAGGACAUGAUAUCAUUCUUUUUUAUGGCUGCAUGGUAUUCCAUGGUGUAUAUGCACCACAUUUUCUUUAUUCAGUCUAUCAUUAAUUCAUAUGUUCAUUCAUUAAAUAAAUAUUA
rnacentral:lncRNA from 1 species